rnacentral:lncRNA from 1 species
GUUGCACCAAGGAGAAUGUGAAACCCAAGGGUCCACCUGCCUCCUCUCCAGCCUGGCCCAGAAAGCACCUUUGAAAGAUGGAGUCUUGCUCUGUCGCUCAGGCAGUAGCGCGAUCUCAGGUCACUGCAACCUCCACCUCCCAGGUUCAAGAGAUUCUCCUGCCUCAGCCUCCCGAGUAGCUGGGAUCACAGGCGUGUGCCACCACGCCCAGCUAAUUUUUGCAUUUUUAGUAGAGAUGGGGUUUCACCAUGUUGGCCAGUCUGGUCUCGAACUCCUGACCUCAGGUGAUCCACCCACCUCAGCCUCCUAAAGUGCAGGGAUUACAGGCAUGAGCCCAUCUAACUUUUUACUUUACGAAGGAAGAUACAUGAUGUCCAAAAAGCACAUGCAAAAAUCAUCAACAUCAGGAAAAUACCCAUAAGCCACAAAGAGAUCACAACAGAACGGCUAAAAUUAGAAAGAAUGGCAACACCAAUUGUUGGGAAAGAUGUAGUAUGAUGAGAACUCUCACACGUUGGAAGGCAAAAUGGCACAGCCACUUUGGAAAAAUGUCCAGCAGGAUCUUAUAAAAUUAAAUAUGCAACAGCCCCAUGAGUUAACCUCCCACUCUUAGAUAUUUACCCAAGACAAGUCAAAGCAAAUCCUGGACUCAGCUUGUGUGUCUGUCACCAGGAGAGCAAACUGACAAGCCAUGGUGCAUUUGUACAGUGGAACAAUACUCAUCCAUCAAAGGCUUGGCCUACCAUUGCAUGCAACAGUGUGAUCCUCAGAACACCAUGCCAUGUGAGAGAAAUCUUACACAAAGGAGUACAGACUGUGCAACUCCAUUUAUAUGAAGGUCUAGAGCCAGCAAAGCUCAUCCCCAGGGAAGAAAAUUCAACACUGUGGUUGCCUUAGUGGUUCCAUAGUGCCUGGGAAAGGUCACAGGGGAUUCUCGGCUAACGUUCUGCAUUGUGAGAGAGGUUUGGAUGAGACUUAAAAGUUAUGCACAUUGCUGUUUGUAAAUUUUAUUUAAAAAAAGAAUUAUAAACUCAUAAUGAACUCCAAUUAAUGAUCUGCAUGCUGAAGCGCUUGCAAAGUGAAGUGCAUUGGUGUCUACAACUUACUUUAAAAUGCAUCCGAAAAACCAGUGGAUUUGUCGACAGAGGAAUUGGCAAAUAUGUGAUAAAGCAAUAAUAGAAAAAUGUUCAUUUUAGAAUCUAGGAAGAGUUUGGUACACUUUCCUAUAAAGGGCCGAAUGCAUAUUGCAGAUUUUAUGGACCAGACAAUCUCAGUCACGAUGGCUCGACUCUUCUUCCAUUGUUGUUAGAAGCCAGCCAUAGUCACUAUGCAAAUGAUGAGUGUGCCUGGGUUCUGUUGUAAAACAAAUGCAACUUCAUUUGUAGAUGUUGAAAGUUGAAUUUCAUAUAAUUUUUAUGUGUCCCAACAUAUUUUUUCUUUUGACUUUUUAACCAUUUAAGAACAGAAAAACCAUUGUUAGCUUGCAGCCCAUAUAAUAACGGGUAGUGGGUGAGCUUUAGCCCACGGGCUAUAAUUUGCUGACCCCUGACAUAGGAGGAGGGCAUGUGGGCAUUUCUUGUACAAUUCUUUCAACUUUUCUGUGUAUUUAAAACAUUUUCAUAGUAAAAUAUUGGGGAAAAUACAAAAAGAAAUUGAAUACAUUACAACAGUUAUUUUCUUUAAAGUCUCCUAUUAGUAUCGUGGCCCUACACGUACCUCACUGUAUCUCCCACAAUUUUCACCCUAUGCAUGGUGAAGCACCUUUUUGGUACAUAAAUAUUUGUAGUUGGGACAUAUCUGUUGUCAGUUGCAUUCUUUAUUAUUCUAAAGAACCUAUUCUGGUCUUCCUUGGUGUGUUUCUCCCUGAACUCAGCCUUACCUGACAUUAAGGAUAUAAACCCAGCUUCGUUUCUGUUUGAGGCUGUCCAUCCGUUCUUCGCCCAUCGUUUCAUUUUACAAGCUCUCUCAGUCACAGAGCUUUAGGACUCUCUCCUGGACAGGCACGGGAUUGAGUUUUUGAUUCUUCUGUUUAUCUCGUUUAUAUUAAAUGACCUGACGCGUUUGAUCUUGGUUCUCUC